rnacentral:lncRNA from 1 species
UACCCAUUAAUUGACAUUUGCUUAACACAAAGUGACAAUAUUUAAGGUAUAAUUAUUCAAAGACGAGAAUUAACUACGCAAUGACUGUGAAGUGUGUUUUACAGGGAAAACAGGACUGAAAUAGUUUGCUCGGAGAUAAAAAAAAAAAGAAAAGAAAAAAAAAGAAACGCUGAAAUCUUUAGUCCAACAGCUUAUCUUGUUUUCCGACCCAUACCCUCAUAUAUUGUUUAAAAUUUGUCCGAAGAACAUAAGAAC